rnacentral:rRNA from 1 species
GGCCUACGGGAGGCAGCAGUGGGGGAUAUUGGACAAUGGGGGAAACCCUGAUCCAGCGAUGCCGCGUGAGGGAAGAAGGUUUUCGGAUUGUAAACCUCUGUGGAGGGGAACGAUAAUGACGGUACCCCUUUAGGAAGCCACGGCUAACUACGUGCCAGCAGCCGCGGUAAUACGUAGGUGGCGAGCGUUGUCCGGAAUUACUGGGUGUAAAGGGAGUGUAGGCGGGGAAGCAAGGCAGGAGUGAAAACUAAGGGCUUAACCCAUAGCCUGCUUUUGAAACUGUUUUUCCUGAGU